CCACACUACCGAGCAAAACAGAGAAUUUCUUUAAGAAACAGAUUCUAUGCAGAAAACUAGUCAGAGGGUUUGAUGCUAGACUGUACUACCUUGGUCAGGUGCUUUGCUGCAUAGGUUCGCAGCCCGAAGUCAAAGGAGGACAGAAUCUCAUUUGCCUGUUUAUAAAAGGAAGUGUCAAAACCAACACAAAAAUAGAAUGUUGUAUCAUCUUCUUAGCAAUGUUGUUUGAUCUGAAGUUUGAAAGAAUGGUACCUCAAUCAGUGUAACUUUAAUGUCGUCUUUAAUGUGAGCAUAGCGAUCUUGAACAUCCCUUAUGAUGAAAUCGCUCAAUUCGCCGCUAAACUCAACGCCUGUCGGUCCGCCUCCAAUCACCACGCAGUGGAGAAGGCGUUUCUUUUCUUCUUCUGAUAGACCUGCAGUAUACGCAUGGGGACUUCUGAUGACAAGGAGGGCCGAGCUAACCUGGAUUUUCAGAGAGCAUUAGAUUUAAAAGAAGCUUUUUCCUAAUUUCUUGAGCAUGAUUUACUUCACGGAGGAAAAAGGCGUGUUCUUUGACUCCCUUGACACCAAAAGUCAAGGGCUCAGAUCCAACAGCAAUCACAAGCUUGUCAUAAGCAACUCUAAAUUGGUAAGUCUCGUGAGGGAGUUCACCAUAGUUAACAGUCUCACAGAACACCUGGUCAAAGAAUGAAAGAAACGAUUAUGUCAUUUUGGAAAUGAAAGAUAACAACACAGAUCCAUUCAGCAUUAAGUCAAAUGCUUUCAACUUUUGUUUUAUUUUUGAAAAUACAUAUUUCGGACUCCUAGAAUAGAAGUCAUCUAACCCUUCCUAGAAGCAACUAUUUCCGGAAAGGAAUCCAUUUUAGUACUUAUAAGCGGUUGAUAACCCGUAACUCAGUAAAACAGAUAUUUUAUUCACAAUU